UCUGUAAAAGAUCCGAUCAGCCAAAAAUAGAACACAACAAUGAAGCAAGGCUGAUUAAUACGUAGAAAGCGGGACAACGACAUGAAAGAAUCUAAACUGGGCUAAAUUCAUUCUGGAUUUUUGCUUAUUGCUAGGGGUCGCGCGUUUUGCGUGUGACAUUGACCAAUGAGUUUCAUCUGAGGUCAUUAUCAUGUGCAUUUAGUAGACAAUCGGUCCACAAGCCAGUUGUUUUACUUUUUGCUGUUACACCGUGCUGACGAAACCCAACCAGGUCGAAACAGCUGUCCAUGGUUGCAAUUCUUGGCUUUCAGUUCGGACUCUAUCAAGUCGUUGUCCCGUCUAUAAGCUUUCUACGUAGUGUAAUCAACCUUGCUUCAUUGUUAUAGAAAAUAGAUGAAAGUAACUAAUCAGAUCGUGUUUUUUUGCCAUUAGUGUGACUGUUAUAAUUACUAACGUAUGCGCCGACUUCGAGUUUGAAAAUGACCGAGGAACUAAUUUUAUAGAUUUGAUAUUUAGCGAUGUAACUAAGUUGGGAAAAUCAUCGCUACAUUUUCAUACUAUUAUUAUCAGUAGUUGGAAUUAACCGUGCGAAAGCCUCUAAAAGUUUUGUUUCAGAUUAUGACAUGCCCUACUAGCGUCCGCUUUUUGAAAGAACGUUAACAUUAACAAUCAAUAACUCGGACGAAAUUCGGCAAAUUACUCCAGCUGUUAUGUGCUAAAAGCUCUAAGCUUGGAAUAUUAUUUCCAGCCAUUUUUUGCACACAACCCUUAGCUUUACUCCAAACAAUUACGUAACAGUUUGUACAAGUCAUAUUUUAGCCAACAAGCUGGUUCACGUUGUUUUUCGCUGAUUUUCUCAGCCUCAGAUAGCGCCGGAAUUAAUACGAAUACCACAAGCCAAUCCGUCGCACAGUCUUCUUCACUGAGUUCACAUACAGAAUAUAUUCUCAAAAUUUGGGUGUCAAACAUCUCAGUUUUGAAGCAUUUUCUCUUUCAGGUUAAUGAGCCACAACACGGGCCGAGUGAAAAUAGAUAUGGUGUUUAUAAUAUUGAGAGAAGUCAACUUCGUCCUAAUUAUGAGAUUGAUUUUUGUGACCUUGAACCAAUCAAAGUGUUCCAAUUGUCAACGAACUGAAUCUCCUGAUGCCAUUGAGAAGUUGACUGAAGGACUGCAAUAUUUACUAAGUAAUUACGAUUCGCGAAUUAGGCCUAACUACACAGGUAAGACAUUCUUCUUUUCGAUUUCGUUUAAAUGAAAAAUUCCAUAAUUGUUUAUAUAAACUUAACGCCUUACACAGUCUAACGACUAAGUCUUAUGGCCUGACCGAAUUGUUCAAUAGAAUCAAGUUUAAUUCUGUGGAGGGUCAUUUAAUCAAGCCGGAUUAACGUAAAUUGUCUUUUUGGUUUGAACUUUUAGUCAGUGCAUCAAACUCCCCCUUUCACCCCUCCCUCUUCCUCGUGUAUACGACAUCUCCUCGAGCGAGGAAAAAUAGAAAAAUGCUGAUCUGACGCGAAAAGUCUGUUUUUCCUAGUAAGCGCAAAUUAAAUACAGCCUUCGGCAAAGAGGACACAUUAUUCUGGCUAAUAAAAGUCUCAAUAAAUAGAUACAAACGCUAAAUGAUUGUCCAAACAGGUACAAGGUGAAAAUAGAUCUACAUACAUUUCAAGUUAUAUAGAAAGUUCAGCAGAGCGUCCUUUUUGUUUUAUUCAAGGUAGUCCAGUUAAAGUCCUGGUUGACAUCUCUGUGGCAUCUUUUAGCAGCAUCAGGGAGGUAGAUAUGGAAUUUGGAUUGGACAUGUUCUUUCGUCAGCACUGGCGAGACACGAGGCUUUCUCA